rnacentral:rRNA from 1 species
GACGAACGCCGGCGGCGUGCUUAACACAUGCAAGUCGAACGGUAAGGCCCUUCGGGGUACACGAGUGGCGAACGGGUGAGUAACACGUGGGUGAUCUGCCCUGCACUUCGGGAUAAGCCUGGGAAACUGGGUCUAAUACCGGAUAGGACCACUGCCUGCAUGGGUGGUGGGGGAAAGCGUUUGCGGUGUGGGAUGGGCCCGCGGCCCAUCAGCUUGGUGGUGGGGUUAUGGCCUAGCAAGGCGACGACGGGGAGCCGGCCUGAGAGGGUGACCGGCAACACUGGGACUGAGAUACGGCCCAGACUCCUACGGGAGGCAGCAGUGGGGAAUAUUGCACAAUGGGCGCAAGCCUGAUGCAGCGACGCCGCGUGAGGGAUGACGGCCUUCGGGUUGUAAACCUCUUUCAGCACCGACGAAGCGCAAGUGACGGUGGGUGCAGAAGAAGGACCGACCAACUACGUGCCAGCAGCCGCAGUAA